rnacentral:lncRNA from 1 species
GGUAAAACAUGGGUAGAUGUAAUAGGUGAUGUGUGAUAAAAUGAUGAGAGGCCUCGAUGUUGAUGUUGUUGUUUCUGUCAUCUAGCGGAGUAUGGAUGACGACCACGGACUCUUCUAGACAGUCCAGUGGAACACUAGCAGGCUCGCAACCUGUAGGUGUUUGUGAACGAUGUGUUCACCGGUGUACUCCAUCCCCCACAUGGUUGCCUUUAGGACAUUUAUUGUUAAGGAAUCCCCUUAGCAGUAGUGUCCAUCCCGAUGAUGAUCCUUAGGCUAGGUCCCUUAUGAUAGGUGUUUAGGGACGUAAAGUGAGGAUAACGGGAACGAGUAAUCAGGUUAUUGUUGAUUGAUGAAAUUAAUAAACUUAUUUAUUGUGGGUUGAAAACCCUAUGUGCUCACCAGGAUCCCAAGCCUGACCCACUCAGUUUUAUGUAUUACAGGUAGUGGCCCUUGAGCAUAGAUAUGAUGUUUGGACGAGGGAUUACGGAUAUAGGCCUGUAGAUGUGAAAUAAUGUAGUAAGGCUUAUAUUGUACUGUUUAUGUUUUUGAUCUGUACGAACAUGACAUCCCAAGUCUUUUAAUGAAAUACAAUUCUAUGGAAAUGCUUUUGAUAACUCUUUAUCAUAUUUUGUUUCGGGAAAAAUUCCGCAACACUUUUAUUUAAAAUGUUACUCUGAUUUUUAAACAAAGCAUAAACAAAAUCGUUCUUUUUCUGGCCGUGAUUUUGGGAAUGUCACAGUUGGUAUCAGAGCAUUAGUUUAAGCGAACUAGGAAUUUGUAGGAUUUCUAGACUUAAACUUAGAAUGCUAAGCGAUGAUUGUGAGGUGUGAGCACUAGCUUAUUUUAGGAAUUGUGCCUAAAAUGCUUUUAUGUGCUAAAUGCCUUGUGCCUGAUAUGCUGUUAAUUGUUCGGAUCUAUGGUCUGUUGCCGACCGGAUCUGGAAACCUUAUGUGUUUAGGAUAAACGUACGACUACGAUAUUAGAACUAGCAUGUAAACAUUUCGAAGAGAUAAGGAUGAUUUGAACAUCAGUCCUAAAUAAAGAUCUAAAUUCACCUUAUUCGGUGUAGAGAUCAACAUGGCAAGGACCCGUAGCGGAAACGUGAACGCAAAUGGAGAUAGGAACCAACCCCCAGUGGUUCAGCAAAUACCUGUUGUUGAAGAAGUUGCACCUGAGCCAGUUACCAUGGCUGGAGUUCAAGCCAUGAUUCGGGCUAUGCUAGCGGAACAAAGGGAAUAAAUGAGACAGAUUCUGCACGAAAAUAGGGACGAACCUACCAUACAUGUUGAACCGACAGAGCUAGUUCCCGAGCAAUCUGAGGAAGGGAACUACAGCCGCCAAGUGACUCAAGUAGGGACCUAAGGUGAGCAAAGGGAUGGCCCAGAAGGGAGAAACAACAAAGAAGGGCGGAUGUACAAAAAUUUCUUGGGUGCGAAACCACCAAGUCUCUCAGGAAGCCCAAAGCCUGUUGAGAUUAUGGAUUGGAUCCGAGUUGGAAAGAUGGUGUUUGAGAGCUGCGACUGCAGCGAGAAGCAGAAGACUGUCUUCGCUGUGAGACAAUUGAAAACUGGAGUCUUGAGCUGGUGGAAGCUAUUGGCAGAUACAAUGCCGCGAGGAGAAGCUCUGAAAAUGUCAUGGGAUGAGUUCUUGGAACAACUGAAGGCGCAAUACUGUUCAGAGAUAGAUCUGAUUGAUCUGAACAAUGAGUUGCAAAAUUUGAAGAAGGGGAGAAUGAGCAUCGAUGACUAUGUUGUUGCAUUUACGGAAAAGAUGAAGUUGUUUCCAUACCUAGUGCCAACCAAACUUUCCAAAAUUGAGAAACUCACAAAUGGACUGCCAUCUGACUUUGGCCCAACAGUCAAGAUGGCAACCACUCUGAAAUUAGUCGUUCGAGCAGCUAAGAAUGUGGAAACCCAACAAAAGGACAGAGGUCUGGAAAGGGCUGAGGUUGGAGAGAAAUGGAAGUUCGAUGGAUCCUCGAAGUCCAACAAGAAGAGUAGAUUCUCGAAGUCUGGUUCGAGAGGAGGAGGAUUAGAAGCGAAGUGGUGUGACAAGUGUAAGAAGAAGCACUCUGGGAAGUGUGACGGAGGGGUCACUUGUUUCAAAUGCGGAAAUCUUAGGCACUAUGCCAAUGAAUGCAACCUCAUCCAGAAGGCCUGUUAUGGGUCUAAUGAAGAAGGGCGCAUUUUGAAGGACUGCCCAAAGAAGAAGGAGGCAGGAAGACCCAAUAUACCACCGAAGCCGAAGGAGAGAGCCUUCCAGAUGACGAUCGAGGCUGCGAAGGAGGCAGCAGACGUCGCUUCAGGUACCUUUCUUGUAAAUGGUUUGCCUGCAAAUAUACUAUUUGAUUCCGGAGCCAACUAUUCCUUUGUGUCGCAUAAAUUUGGUGGGAAAUUAGAAUUGCCUGUAGAAAAACUUGAUACUGCCCUGAUUGUAGAAGUUGCCAGUGGCAAAUUCGUACCUAUUAGUAAUCGUAUUAGGAACAUCGUUAUCGACCAAAACGGAAACGAAUUCCACGAAGAACUACUAUCCAUAGAGUUAAACGGUUUCGACAUCGUCUUGGGUAUUGAUUGGCUUAGCACCAACGAUGCCGAGAUAUUAUGCCAAAAGAAGAUAGUAAGGGUGAACUCACCCGGAAAAGAAUCAUUUAUGGUGUACAGGGACAAACGCAGAGUGAAUUCUGGAAUCAUCUCCAUGAUGAAAGCCAGGAAAUGUUUGUCCAAAGGAUGUGCAUUAUACUUGGCAUUCGUAAUCGAUGCCAAGAAGGAAAAGAAAGAGGUGCAGAAUAUACCGGUCGUGUGCGAUUAUCCAGAAGUCUUUCCCGAAGAUCUUCCCGGAUUACCACCUGAUAGACAAGUGGAGUUUCGUAUAGACUUGUUACCAGGAACAACACUGAUAGCAAAGGCACCUUACCGAUUAGCACCGACGGAGAUGAAAGAGCUCAUGACGCAACUUCAGGAGCAAUUGGACAACGGUUUCAUUCGACCUAGUUCAUCACCUUAGGGAGCUCCAGUGUUAUUCAUGAAGAGGAAGGACGGAAGCAUGAGGAUGUGCAUAGACUACCGAGAGCUGAACAAGGAAACAGUGAAGAACAAGUAUCCAUUGCCGAGGAUUGACAACCUAUUCGAUCAGCUGCAAGGUUCGAGCUACUUCUCAAAGAUCGAUCUUAGGUCGGGGUAUCAUCAGUUGAAUGUGAGAGAUCAAUAUAUCGAGAAGACUGCAUUCAGAACGAGAUAUGGACACUACGAGUUCUUGGUUAUGUCGUUUGGACUAACCAAUGCAACAGCAGCAUUCAUGGAUUUGAUGAGUAGGGUUUGUAAACCAUUCCUCGAUAAAUCUGUGAUAGUGUUCAUCGACGACAUUCUGAUCUACUCGAAAAGCCAAGAGGAGCAUGGCAAGCAUCUACGAGAAGUGUUAAAGAAGGAGAAGCUUUAGGCUAAGUUCUCCAAGUUUGAUUUUUGGAUCCAAGAAGUUCAAUUCUUGGGUCAUGUGGUUAACCAAGAAGGGAUACCCAGCAAGGAUCGAAGCUGUAAUGAAGUGGGAACGUCCGAAAAGUCCCACGGAGAUUCGGAGCUUUCUAGGAUUAGCCGGAUAUUAUCGAUGGUUCAUCCAAGGCUUUUCUUCGAUAGCUGUUCCAUUAACAGCUUUGACCCAUAAAGGAGCUACGUAUACGUGGAGUGAGAAACACGAUGAGGCACUCGAGAAACUAAAGAAGAAGUUAUGUGAAGUACCGAUACUUUCUCUACCCGAUGGAGUCGAAGAUUUCACGGUUUAUAGUGACGCUUCUGGAGUCGGGUUGGGUUGUGUUCUGACCCAAAGAGAAAAGGUGAUAGCAUACGCAUUUUGACAAUUGAAAGAGCACGAAAAGAACUACCUUACUCAUCAUUUGGAGUUCGCACCGGUAGUAUUUGCUCUAAAGAUAUGGAGGCAUUAUCUCUACGGCACGAAGUGUAGGUUGUUCACUGAUCAUAAGAGGCUCCAGUAUCUCUUCAAUCAGAAAGAAUUGAACAUGAGGCAACGACGCUUGCUAGAGUUACUAAAGGACUAUGACUGUGAGAUACUUUAUCACCCCGGUAAAGCAAAUGUUGUCGCUGAUGCUUUCAGUCAAAAAGUCAAUCUUGAAAGGAAAAGGCCAAGAGGUUUGAGAAUUUAAGUCGCCUCGACAAUUGUGGAAAGUAUUAGGAAAGCUCAAGAGCUUUAGAGAAAAAUGACCGAAAGGAAGAACAUUUGGGCAAAACAUUAGUGUUCGGUGCAAACCGUCAAGGACUAAAGGUAUUCCAAGAUCGGAUUUGGGUACCUAAGAAGGGAGGAAUAAGAGAUCUUCUGAUGGAAGAAGCACAUAAGACCAUGUACUCGAUUCAUCCCGGUAGCACUAAAAUGUAUAGGGACCUAAAACCCUACUACUGGUGGCUGACGAUGAAACUCGAUGUUUCGAAGUAUGUGGCCGAGUGUGUAACAUGUGCGAGAGUUAAGGCACAACAUCAAAAACCGUAUGGGAGUUUGGAACCUUUGCCUGUAGCCAUGGGUAAAUGGGAAGACAUCACCAUGGAUUUUGUGACCAAACUGCCCAGGAUGAAGAACGGUCACGACAUGAUUUGGGUAGUCGUGGAUCGUUUCACUAAGAGUGCACACUUCAAAGCGGCCAACGAAAAGUGGUCUAUGGAUAAGCUCGCAAAUGCGUACGUGAAGGAAAUUGUAAGACUUCACGGUGUUCCUCUUACGAUUGUAUCAGAUCGUGAUAGUCGUUUCACAUCGAGGUUUUGGCGGAGUCUACAAGAGGAGUUGGUUACAAAGUUGUGCUUAAGUACUGCUUACCAUCCGCAAACCGAUGGUCAGAGCGAAAGAACGAUUCAAACACUGGAAGAUAUGCUGAGAGCAUGUACCCUCGAGUUCCAAGGGAAUUGGGAUGAGCACUUACCUCUGGUAGAAUUUUCCUCCAACAAUAGUUUUCACUCGAGCAUCAAGAUGGCAUCUUAUCAAGCCUUGUAUGGACAGAAGUUUCGUACGCCGUCUUGUUGGCUUGAAGCCGGAGAGAAGCAGUUUAUGGGCCCCGAGAUAGUCCAUGAGACUGCUGAGAAGUUGAAAGUGAUUAGGGAAAGGAUGUUAGCUGCUCAGGAUCGUGAAAACAGCUACGCUGACAAGAAAAGACGACCAAUGGCUUUUGAAGUAGGGGAUUCCGUUUUGCUUAAAGUCUCACCUUGGAAGGGACUUAUAAGAUUCGGAAAACGAGGGAAGUUGAGUCCAGUGUUUAUUGGACCGUUCAAAGUUCUUUAGAAGAUAGGGAACCAAGCUUACAAGCUGGAAUUGCCCGAAGAACUCGACGGUAUACAUAACACCUUCCAUGUAUGUUAUAUGAGUAAAUUCAUAGGAGAAGUUCCCAACAUAAUUCCAAUCUCAGAGUUAAGGAUGGAUGAAAAUAAAAGGCUGAUCGAAGAGCCUGAGGCAAUUGUUGACCGUAAGACUAAGAAGUUACGAAGCAAGAUGGUCGACUUAGUACUAGUCCGAUGGAAACAUUCGAAUGGGCCAAAUCUCACUUGGGAAACAGAGGAUGACAUGAUGAGUCGCUAUCCACAUCUGUUUGCUGAUGCAUGAUUCCGAGACAGAAUCAUCCUAAGGGGGAAAGAAUUGUAACGCAUGAGUUUUAGGGCUAAACAUAUUUGUAAAUGUAAUAGUCUAGGUCAACUAUUGUAACUCUUUUUGAAGUAAUAAAGAUGAAAUAUUUGAGUAUUAUGUGAAUUAUGUGUAUUUAUGUGCUUAUAAUUUAAUGAUAAAUGUAUAAUUAAUAAAGAAUAAAAAUAAGCAUCAAAAUUAAAGUGUCCAUAUAAGCUCUAUAUCUCUACAUAAAGUUGUAGAAUGUGUCUCAAGGUUUCCGUACAUAUAAAGAACGCCGAAAUCCGAGUUAUAACGAAGAAGUUAUGGCCCGUCGAAGUUCUAUGGCAAAACCAACAUGGCACCGGGAAGCGUAAAUAGUGAAUUUACGAUAGAGCGAGAUUUAGCCUUAGCAAUCUAAACAAAAGUUGUAGAAUAUGUUAAACUAAGAGCGUNNGUCGAUAAAUAGAACGCCCAAAUCUGACUUCGUAUGAGGAAGUUAUGAUUUUUCUAAGAUUCAGCUUAGUAGUGCACGACCUGAAACUCGAAUUUUAGUUCGACCGGUUUUUGGCUUACGCGACCUAAAUUAGAGUUGAAGAUCUCAAUAAUAGGAACUCAACGGUAGAAAGAUGGACGAAAACGGAGUUCGUAUGAAGGAGUUACGAAUUCUUCGUGGUCAUUUAACAGUCUAAACGCCUCCUAUUGUUAAAUUUGAGAUCGGUCUAGAAUUAACCGACGGAGUCUAAACAGAAGUUGUAGAUCUUGAUUUUACCUACGCGUGGAUAUAAAGAACGUCAAAAACGGAGCUCGUAUGCGAGAGUUAUGAUUUUUCUAAGUUUGAAGGCAGAUACGCGAUAGGGAGUGACGUGGCACCACCAGAAUUGGACACGUGGCACCACCAGAAGGUUGCCACAUGCANCGAGUAGGUCCUCUUACUCGGCGAGUCCAUCAGUCAGCACCUCUAUAAAUAGAGGUGUCGGGUCUUGCCAUUUCUUCACACCUCUCAAACCUUCUUUCUCUCUCUCUAAGCUCCCUAAGCCCCCCUAAAGUCUAGGUAAACCCCCUAGCACCCGAAGGAAGCCCCAAGGCUCCCGGAGUCCCGAGAAAAGAGCCUUUCGGCUCGGGAACGCUACUCCAAUGACACUCGAUUUUCGAGAAAACCCGCUAUAAGUGAGCUAUGCGUAACCUAUCUUUAGUAUAGCUUACGUUUUAAUAUAGUAAUGUUAUUAGGACCUUAUAAUAAGUACUUGGGCUAUUAUAAUGGGUUAUAUAAGUAUCGUUUAACGCUUAUAUAAUAAUAAUAAUAGCUAGACUAUUAAUUAAUCGCGGUUAUCGUUAGACUAAACCCUAGUGGUAUUGGUACUAGGUUUUAUCGAAGGAAAAUCGUUUUGAGAGUACCGAAGCGCUGUCCGAGUGCUGAGUCACCACCUUUCAAGUGAGUGCAUAGUUACUUUCAGCUUACACAUAGAUAUGAAGUAUUUUAUAUAAAUUACGUGCUAUGUGUGCAUAUUAUCUGAAUACUUGCUAUCUAUGCUGGAUGAACGUUUUUAUACAUGUUUUCAAUGAUUUAAACUGUAUAUGUAUUUUAUAUCUACGAAAAUGUUGGGGUGAAACAUGGGUAGAUGUAAUAGGUGAUGUGUGAUAAAAUGAUGAGAGGCCUCGAUGUUGAUGUUGUUGAUUCUGUCAUCUAGCGGAGUAUGGAUGACGACCACGGACUCUUCUAGACAGUCCAGUGGAACACUAGCAGACUCGCAACCUGUAGGUGUUUGUGAACGAUGUGUUCACCGGUGUACUCCAUCCCCCACAUGGUUGCCUUUAGGACAUUUAUUGUUAAGGAAUCCCCUUAGCAGUAACGUCCAUCCCUGAUGACGAUCCUUAGGCUAGGUCCCUUAUGAUAGGUGUUUAGGGAC